GAUGAACGCUGGCGGCGUGCCUAAUACAUGCAAGUCGAGCGAGCGGCGGACGGGUGAGUAAUGUCUGGGAAACUGCCUGAUGGAGGGGGAUAACUACUGGAAACGGUAGCUAAUACCGCAUACCAUCAGAUGUGCCCAGAUGGGAUUAGCCAGUAGGUGGGGUAAUGGCUCACCUAGGCGACGAUCCCUAGCUGGUCUGAGAGGAUGGCCAGCCACACUGGAACUUGUACACGGUCCAGACUCCUGCGGGAGGCGGCAGUGGGGAAUAUUGCACAAUUGGGGCAAGCCUGAUGCAGCCAUUCCGCGUGUGUGAAGAAGGCCUUCGGGUUGUAAAGCACUUUCAGCGAGGAGGCGUUACUCGCAGAAGAAGCACCGGCUAACUCCGUGCCAGCAGCCGCGGUAAUAC
rnacentral:rRNA from 1 species